GGGUGCGAUCAUACUAGCGUUAAUGCACCGGAUCCCCUCAGAACUCUGCAGUUAAGCGCGCUUGGGCUAGAGUAGUACUGGGAUGGGUGACCUCCUGGGAGGUCAUGUUGUUGCACCCU
rnacentral:rRNA from 1 species